GACGAACGCUGGCGGCGUGCCUAAUACAUGCAAGUAGAACGCUGAAGCUUUGUGCUUGUACCGAGCGGGUGAGUUGCGCACGGGUGAGUAAAGCGUAUGUAACCCCCCUGGUAGCGGGGGAUAACUAUUGGAAACGGUAGCUAAUACCGCAUAAGAGUAGAUUUUGUAUGACAUUUUCUUAAAAGGUGCCAUUUCAUCAUUACCAGAUGGACCUGCGUUGUAUUAGCUAGUUGGUGAGGUAACGGCUCACCAAGGCAACGAUACAUAGCCGACCUGAGAGGGUGAUCGGCCACACUGGGACUGAGACACGGCCCAGACUCCUACGGGAGGCAGCAGUAGGGAAUCUUCGGCAAUGGACGGAAGUCUGACCGAGCAACGCCGCGGGAGUGAAGAAGGUUUUCGGAUCGUAAAGCUCUGUUGUAAGAGAAGAACGAGUGUGAGAGUGGAAAGUUCACACUGUGACGGUAUCUUACCAGAAAGAGACGGCUAACUACGUG
rnacentral:rRNA from 1 species